AUCACCUGGAUUGCAAAUGUUUGCUUGACUCUGUAAUCCUGGCUUCAUCUUUGCAUAUUUCUGCCUCAAGUUCAGAAGCUCCAGUCAAGGCCAGGAUGUGGUAUCUAAUGAGCCAAAAAAAAUUACAGUCAGUGAAGGCUGCAUUAGGAGACAGUAGCACAUUUAGGUUGCUGCCAAAUUUGAUGCAUAUGGCAUAUGAGCCAUAGCCCCUCAAGGGACAGUUCUACAAAGGGGGAAAGAGGAUUGCAGUUGAAGGAAUAAAAAAAUGAAAGCCUCAUGAAGAGUCUGCAGUGCAAAAUGCCACAGAAACCCUUCGCACAUAGCAAUUCCACCAGACACUUGCAACUGAAUAAUUCAUGGAUUAAAUCAUCCUGGAUUCACCUUUCAGAUAGGCAGCCAAGAAGUUCGCCUGACCAGACAGCAGCAAUUCAGAAGCAGGAAAUCUGCCUCUAAGGCACCCUGUCACCAAGUCUGACACUCGCAGCCAACAGCUGAGACAUGGUAACGUUGCAAGAGUUUCCAGUGAUUCAUGAAAUGACAGGAUCUCCAGGUGCUGCAAGCUCCAAGUCUCCUGACCUCAGGCGUACGAUGACUAUCUAACAUGACACUGGAUUAGGGCAGUCCUGAUUGACAAAAGUCAGUCCUGUGCUGCUUGACUACAAUGCUGCCGGCUGAAUAUUUACAACAUCCUUUCAUGGAGACACAAGAGACUACAGAUGCUGAAACCUGGAGUAACAAAAUGCCGGAAAAACUCAGUGGGUCAGGCAGGAUCUGUGGAUGGAAAUGGACAGUCAUUUUGGGUCAAGACCCUUCCUCUGGACUGAAAGAUUUCCAGCAACUACAGUAUUUUAUACUUCACAAUCCCAACAUUUCUUUUCUCUGCACUAUUCACUUCAGCUCCUUCUACUUACAUUCUCCCCAGACAGAUCAGCUGCAGUUAACAAGCAUUCACUACCCUCCCUCAGCUAUCAUCGUAACUUUUUGUGUUGUUCAGUCUCACUUUGUCUUCACCCUACCACAGACAUUCGAUUUGUUUUCCCCAACCUCUCCCCAUCUUUGCAACUUAAGACAUCUCUGAUUUCAGAAAUUUUCCCAGUUUUGAUGAAUGUUCAUUGAUCUCAUGGUUCUUUAUUGCGUAGAAGGAGGCCAUUUGACCCAUCGAGUCUUACCACACCAAUAGUUCCAUUUCUGCCUUAUUUCCCUGCAACAUUCACUUUCAUUGUCCUAUUAAUUCACCACUGAUUC